rnacentral:rRNA from 1 species
UACGGAGGGUGCAAGCGUUAUCCGGAAUCAUUGGGUUUAAAGGGUGCGCAGGCGGGGCUUUAAGUCAGUGGUGAAAUCCCUUCGCUCAACGAAGGAACUGCCAUUGAUACUGAAGCUCUUGAAUUUAGUUGGCGUGGGCGGAAUGUGCCAUGUAGCGGUGAAAUGCUUAGAUAUGGCACAGAACACCGAUCGCGAAGGCAGCUCACGAAACUAAUAUUGACGCUCAGGCACGAAAGCAUGGGGAGCAAACAGG